ACACCAGUAAUCCCAGCUGAGGCAUGAGAAUUGCUUGAACCCAGGAGGCGGAGUUUGCAGUGAGCUGAGAUCAUACAACUGCACUUCAACUUGGGCGACAGAGCAAGACUCUGUGUCAAAAAAAAAAAAACCCUUAAAAAACAAAGCAAAAAAAGCCCAAACCAAAGCAAACCAAAAACAAAACAAAACAAAAACCCAACUAUGAUGAUAAACAAGUAAAACAGCAACCACACAAAACCUUUGUGGAGAAGAGAGAAAAGGGGAUAAAGGAAGACCACAUAGAGAAUUUCAAAGAAGAGAAGAAUUUCCCAAGGGGAGAAAAGACAAGAAACCAGACUUCCCUUUCAAAGAGUUAGCUUCACACAGACUAGAGUCAUGGAGAAAUGGGAUUGAAAAUGAAACGCAUCUUUGACAAAAGGGAAGGGAAAGAGCAAGGGAGCAAGGCUGCUCUUUCUGGGAAGACGAGGAAUAGGAAAACAUUGCCUAAGUGUUUUACUGAACAGAACUUCUGCCCCUGCAUAACUAAAAUGUGACAACACCCUUUCAGAUGGUCUCUGCUUCACUACAAACCACCUGGAUACUCUACUCACUAUCCUAAAUGCAUUUAACAUCACAACACAUUAGCAAGUAAUGAUGUUUUAAUGAGAUUUUAUAUAGGAAGAGAAUAGGAAUAUUUCACUAUGUACCCAAGUGAAAACAUAAUAUGCUUCCUCCAGAUUAUGGUGGUUUUUUGUUUCAAGUUCACUAGCCAUCUCAUUUCUCCUUCUUCCUCCCUCAUGUGUAAUCUAAAAUUGUUUUUCUGGUUCUGAAUAAUUCUGCUCUGAUCUCACCUUAUAUUCUCCAAUGAAGUGAUAGACAGGCUCAUCAAUUGUCACUUCAUCUGGGAGCAUCAACGGUCACUUAAGAGUGGCUAUUGGAUCUCUGAUAUCCUACUCUAGAUGGCUUAUCAAAAUUUCUGUUUAACAGAAAUAGCUUCUUCCUGUGUGGGGACUUAAAUUGGCUUAGAGAAAGUGAUUGCUAAGGAAAAAGUUUCAUGUACUUUUCUAUGUAUGUUUGCAUAUGUGUGUGUAUGUGUGUAUAUACACACAAGUGAUAAAGGUUUAACAAUAGAUAUAUGCGUGUGUGUGUAUGUAUAUGUAGAUAUGAAUAUACACAUACAUAUAUGUGUACAUAUAGCCACACACACAUACACAUAUAUGUAUAUAGUUCUACACACAUAUACACGUAUAUGUAUAUAGUUCUACACACAUAUAUAUCUUUAUUGUUAAACCUUCAUCACUUUCUUUCCCAGUCUGAUAAGCAGGACUGGACAAACUUAAAGAAAAUCCUUAGGGCCUCUUUAUCUUAUUUCCAUUACCAUAGUAUGAAUAUAUAACAACUGUAUUAGUUCGUUCUGACAUUGCUAUAAAGAACUACCUGAGACUGGGUAAUUCGUGAUGAAAAGAGGUUUACUUCACUCAUAGCUUUACAAGGCUGAAGAAGCCUUAGGAAACUUGUGAUCAUGGUGGAUGGCAAAGAGGAAGCAGGUACAUAUUCACAUGAUGAUGGGGGAGAGAGAGAGCAAAGGGGGAAGUGCUACACGCUUUCAAACCACAAGAACUGGUGAUAACUCACAUCACCAUAACAACAGGGGUCAUUCGCUCCCACAACUAGUCACCUCCCACCAGGUAUCUCCCCCAACAUUGGGGAUUACAAUCUAACAUGAGAUUUGAGUGGGGACACAGGGCCAAAGCAUAUCAGCAACUGACCUUCUUUCUCCUUCUUCAAAUUGUACCCACGCAUUUGCUAAAUGAAAGGAACUGACUAAAUUCAAAGUCCCAAAAUGUCCCUCAUACCAUGUCCUUUGGCUCUCCAUGAUUUUUACUUCCUUUACCCUUCACUCAUGGUGUCAUCUUGAGUUCAAAAAUGACACAUUUUAAAAUGAUGAGGAGCAGAAGGAAAGAGAUCUGUGUUCCUCCAUCAGUGGAGCAGAACGGCAUUAUAUGUCCUCCUUAUCUUUUUUGUCAGUGUUUAAAUAUGGUAGAUUUUUGUGGGCACAGAGGCUCACAUCUAUAAUCUCAGCACUUUGGGAGGCCAAGCUGAGUGGGUCACUUGAGGACGGGAGUUUGAGACCAGCCUGGCAAACAUGGUGAAAUCCCAUCUCUUCUAAAAAUACAAAAAUUAGCUGGGCGUGCUGAUGCAUGCCUGUAAUCCCAGCUACUUAGGAGGCUGAGUCAUGAGAAUCACUUGAGCCUGCAAGGUGGAGUUUGCAGUGAGCUGAGAUCACACUACUGCACUUCCGCCUGGGUAACAGAGUGAGACUUUCUAAAUAAAUAAGUAAAUUCAGUAGAUUGAAGUUCAGAAGUAUCAGUUUUUCCUGAUGGUGAUAGUUCUCUUUAAGGCACAGAAUACACAGAUUUUGCUUUUGUUUUAAUUAUUUUUUAAUUUUUAGUCAUUUGGAAAUAUAUUGAUGCUACACAGUAACAUUACAGAAAAAAAAAAUAGUCACCAAAAGACUCCAGAAUGUCUUAAAUGUGUUUACCAUAUCUUUAAUUUUAAUUUUCUAUGAUAUUUCCACUUCUGGAACUUAUUCUUUUUUUAGGGUAUUCAAAAUGUAAAUGCAGGGGCACAUUGUAUUAAGGCAAGUUUUUACCUGAUGUCUGUUUUUCUUGGGUAACACUUAAACCACCAAUCAAAUAAACGAAAAUGCUAUUUAAUACCUAGUUGACUACAUCCAGUUCUGUCCCUAAGGAAAUGGGAUAAUUUCUUGGUCUAUUAAAUUUUUUAGAGUUCAAAAUUGUCUUUUUUAAAAGAUGUUUUAGUGUUACAUUAGGUUAUCGUAGGUUACAAUGCAGCAAGAUAUAAGGACAGUUACUCAGUUGAAACAUUUAUUUUUGUCAGUUGCUCUUGUGAGCUGGUGUUUGAUUUCAAGAAAACAAGGAGUGCAUAUCAAUGACGGCCAUUCUCCAGGUGCUGCUUCACGGUGAAAGUGACACCAAACUGAAGGGUAAUUUGAAAGGGUUGGGAAGUCUCCAGCUAGUUAUUUUUUCAGGCCAGUUUACUGUGACUCAUCACAUUUCUCUUAAAUAAGCCACACUUACCAGCGAAGUACAACUUCCGUUGUAUCCACAUCACAUUCCACUUCUACUGAGGAUAUCUUUCGAUAUUUUCUCAUCACACUGUUCAGCAAAUCACUACAAUGUGACACAAAAAUUAAUAUACCCUUUGCAUUUUCCAUUCAUGUUUCUUUUUGUUGACAUUGUUCUUUUUAAAGUGACAUCUUUUCUAAAAAUACGAAAGCAUUUUAAAUGAAGAAUAAAAAUAUUUUUAUUAAUUUUUAAGAAAGUUCCCUCAGCUUGAGUUUCACUAUCAAAAAGUAAAACCCUCAGCAGUUUCUUGUAUAUCCUUCCAGAAAACUUGCAUAAACACAUCUAUAUUACACAUAUUGAUUGUACCUUGUUUUCUGUUUUACUUCAUUUUCAUUACAGCCCUACUUUCUUUUGUUUUUACUUCUAUAUCUCUAUUAAUCUAUGCCUUCAAAGAGCUACAUUAAAAAAAAAGAUUCCCUAUGAAUAAUAUUUCUAGUUUCUGUAGGCUUCCCAAAUAAUGCACGUUGAAUAAAUCAUUUGUUACUUAGAUAUUAAAUAUCGUGGUCAAUUGUUUCAGUAAGAAGACAGUUGAGGUAUUUUAUUUUAUGUAUUGAUUUCAUGAGAAAAUAUACAUAAUGUUAAAAUAUGCUUAACGUUAUUUUAAACAUUUACUAGUUUUUAAGUAUUUUUAUGUUGCAAAACUGCUUUUCUUCUUUUUUGGCUGAUUUACAAAUAAUUAUUUUUAUUUAAAUCUAAAUGAAUAUUUUUGUGACAAUAAAUGUUAAGUCUUUUCCCAAAAGAAUGCUUUACCUUUUCUUUUGUCUAAAUGUUAUGACCUUCAAAGAUUCAUUGUGUUUUAAAAAUAUCUUUUCAUUUUGUUGCUAAUGUGAUUAAAACACUUAUUUCUAUGUUAUAGUAUAUGUGUGUGUGUGUGUGUGUAUAUAUAUGUACAUAUAUAUAUAUUUAUUUGGCUUCACAAAUUUCUCAUUCUCUUCAUCUUUAUUCUUACCUAUAUUCUACUUUUCCAUCCAGAUAAUUUUCCUUUUGCAAUAACAGCUCCUUGUAAUAUUGUUCUCAGUACAGGUCUGAUGAUAAUGACAUGAGAUUUGGGUGGGGACACAGAGCCAAACCAUAUUAUUCUGCUCCUGGCCCCUCCCACAUCUCAUGUCCUCACAUUUCAAAUACCGUCAUGCUCCUCCAAUAUUUCAUUAAAGUCUUAACUCAUUCCAGCAUUAACUCAAAAGUCCACAGUCCAAAGUCUCAUCUGAGACAAGGCAAAUCCUUUCCAUCCAUGAGCCUAUAAAAUCAGAAGCAAGUUAGUCUCAGCUUUUUGUUUGCCUGAAAAUUUCUUUAUUUUGGAGAAAAUUUCUCUCCACUAUGUUUAGAGAAUGUAGAUAUUUUAUGUCAAUCUGCAGUUAACUAACACUGUGUUCUACAGUAACCCAUCUAUAAAUUCUAAAUUCGAGACACUGUAUUUUUGGAAGGAAGUAUCUGAUGAUGAUUCUCCCCUUUUACCUAUUUCAUUACACGAUUUGCUCAUAGUUAUUUCACAGCUUUUGUCUGCUGAUGUCAAUGUCUAAAUCAUCUAUGAUUUUGGUUCUUUUCCUUUUUUGUUUUUUUGUCAUAUGGCACUCUUUCUUAACAUGCCCAGUAAUUUUUGAACACAUGUGAGAAGUAGUGUCUAAAAAUUAUAGAAGCUCAAAAAGAUAUUUUCUGCUAGACAGGGCUCCUUCUCCUUUCUUCUCCUGGACAGAGUGGAGUCUGAGUAUCUCAAAUCUAAGGAUAUCUGAAUUGGACUGAGUUACUGUUUAGACAAAGAUCAGUCAAUCUCUGAUUGGCCUCCAUUUCUGAAAUAUGGUCUGCUUCUUCAGUUUUUUAGUGAAGAAGCUGAAGUAUUCUACAGGGUGUGUUCUCUUUGGAGGUCUUGAAUUUAAUCUACUUUCUCAGCAGAAAAUUGUUCUGAUUUUCAGAUAACCCAAAAUACUGUACCCCCAAAGAUGUCCAUAUCCUAAUUACCAGAACCCAUUAACAUGUUAUGUUAUGUGGCAAGAAGGAAUUAUGUUUGUUAAUCAACUGAAUUUAAGAUAAGGAGAUUAUCCUGGAUUAUUCAAGUGGGCCCAAUAAUGUAAUCACAAGGAUUCUCAAUUAGAAAAGACGGAGGCAGCAGAGUCAGGACCUGAGUGAUACCAUGGUAAGACUCAAUCAGCCAUUGCUGGGUUUUGAGAUGGAAGGGAUUUAUGAGCCAAGGAAUGUAGACAGCCUCUAGAAACUGGAUGGGAAUAAAAUAUAUCCUUCUCUGAACCUGUAAGGAAAGUAUACAGCCCUGAUACUGUGAAUUUAGGUCAGUGAGACCCCUUUAUACACUUCUGAACUCCAAAACUGUAAGAUAAUAAAUGUGUGUUGUUUUAACCCACUAAAUUUGUGGUGGUUUUAUAGCAGCAAUAGUAAAUGAACACAGAGGUUUGUGGUUUAUUUCUUUAGUCUCCCACACAUACAUCUUCAGCAUUUAGAAAUUAUUUUGAUAAGGCAACAGUCCUGGGUAUGAGGCACCUGCAGCCUCAUACUCUUGCUUUGCAAGACUAUUUUUUGCUGUUUUUUUCCUCCUUAUGGAGAAGCUUCUACUUAUUAGAAGGUCACAUUCUUGGCUCUUGCCAGUGUUCAGAAUAAGAAGAUGCCCUGAGAGGAAGCAGAUAGCAAAGCUAUCUCAUGUGGAAUCAGCACCUUUAGUCCUCCUUGCUUCAUUAGCUGUCCAGCAACUUUACAUAUGUGAUGUUUGUAUUGUAUUGACUUCUAAAUUGUUUUCAGUUGAGUAUUUGUUGUAAUCUACUCCAUUGUAUGAGUUCAUUUUCAUACUGCUAUGAAGAAGUACUCAAGACUGGGUAAUUUAUAAAGGAAAGAGCCUUAAUUGACUCACAGUCAAGCCUCCCUUCAUUGCUGGGGAUGCUUCAGGAAACUUACAAUCAUGGUGGAGAAGCAGGUACCUUCUUCACAUGGUGGUACAAUGGAGUGAGUGCAAGCAAGGGAAAAGUGCAAUGCUUAUAAAGCCAUCAAAUCUUGUGAGACUCACUAAUUAUCACAAGAAAGCAUGGGGGAAACUGACCUUAUGACCCAAUUACCUCCACCGGGCACUGCACUUGACCUGUGGGCAUUCUGGGAAUUAAAAGUCAAGGUGAGAUUUGGAUGGGGACACAGAGCCAAACCAUAUUAUUCUGCUCCUGGCCCCUCCCACAUCUCAUGUCCUCACAUUUCAAAAUACCAUCAUGCUCCUCCAAUAUUUCAUUAAAGUCUUAACUCAUUCCAGCAUUAACUCAAAAGUCCACAGUCCAAAGUCUCAUCUGAGACAAGGCAAAUCCUUUCCAUCCAUGAGCCUAUAAAAUCAGAAGUAAGUUAGUUACCUCCUAGAUAUAAUGGGGGUACAGGCAUUGGAUAAAAACCCCCAUUACCAAUGGGAUAAAUACCCCCAUUACCAAUUGGCCAAAACAAAUGGGAUAUAAGCCAUAUGCAAGUCUAAAAUCUAAUAGGGCAGUCAUUAAACAUUAAAGUUCCAAAAUGAUCUCCUUUGACUCUCUGGGCAUGCUGAUGCAAGAGGUGGGCUCCCAUGGCCUUGGGAAGCUCUAUCUCUGUGGAUUUGCAGAGUACAGCCCCUCUCCAUUGCUUUCACAGGCUGGUAUUGAGUGUCUGUGGUUUUUCCAGGCACAUGGUGCAAGCUUUUGGUGGAUCAGCCAUUCUGAGGUCUGGAGAAUCAUUGUCCUCUUUUGAUAGCUCCAGUAAGCCUUGUCCUACUGGGGACUCUGUGUGGGAUCUCCAACCUCACAUUUCCCUUCUUCACUGUCCUGGUAGGGGAUCUCCAUGAGGGCUCUGCUCCUGCAACAAACUUCUGCCUGAACAUCCAGGCAUUACCAUAUAUUCUCUGAAAUCUAAGGAAAGUUUCACAAAUCUCAAUUCUUGACAUAUGAUAAAUACCCACAGGAGUAUUUAUCAAUGUCAUGUGAAAGCUGCCAAGGCUUGGGACUUGGACUCUCUGAAGCAAUGGCUUGAACUGUACCUUGGUCCCUUUUAGCCAUGGCUGGAGCUGAAGCAGCUGGGAUGCAGGGCACCAUGUCCCAAGGCUACACAGAACAUGGGGGACCUGGACCCAGCUCAUGAAAUCAAUAUUCCCCCCUAAUCCUCUGGGCCUGUGAUGGGAGGGGGUGCCACAAGGUCUCUGCAUGCCCUGAAGACAUUUUCCCCCUUGUCCUGGUGAUUAGCAUUCAGCUUCUCUUUACUUAUGCAAAUUUAUGUAGCCAGCUUGAAUUUCUCCCCAGAAAAUGGGAUUUUCUUUUCUACUGCAUUGUCCGGCUGCAAAUUUUCCAAACUUUUAUGCUUUGUCAUGUCUUGAACACUUUGCUGCUUAGAAAUUUCUUCCAUCAGAUAUCCUAAAUCAUCCUUCUCAAGUUUAAAGUUUCACAGAUCUCUAGGGCAGGGGCAAAAUGCCACCAGUCUGUUUGCUAAAGCAUAGCAAGAGUCACAUUUGCACCAGUCUCAAGAAGUUCCUCAUCACUAUCUGAGGCCACUUCAGCCUGGACUUCAUUGUCUAUAUUACUAUCAGAUUUUGAUGAAAACCCUUCCAUAAAUCUCUGGGAAGUUCCAAACUUCCCCACAUUUUCCUGUCUUCUUCUUAGCCCUCUAAGCUGUUCCAACCUCUGCCUGUUACCCAGAUCCAAAGUUGCUUCUACAUUUUCCGGUAUCUUCACGGCAGUUCCCCACUACCUUGAUACCAAUGUACUGUAUUAGUCUGCUCUCACACUGCUGUGAAGAAAUACCUGAGACUGGGUAAUUUAUAAAGGAAAGAGGUUUAAUUGACUCAGAGUUCCAUAUUGCUGGGGAGACCUCAGGAAACUUACAAUCAUAGCAGAAGGCAAUGGAGAAGCAUGGACCUUCCUCACAGGGUGGUUGGACAGAGUGAGUACAAGUGGGAAAAUGCCAGAGGCUUAUGAAAUCAUCAGAUCUCAUGAGAUUCACUCAUCACCAUGAGAACAUAUGGUAGAAACCACCCCUAUGAUCCAAUUACCUCAAGUGGUCUCACCGCUGACAUGUGGGGAUAAUGGGAAUUACAAUUUAAGGUGAGAUUUGGGUGGAGACACAGCCAACUCAUAUCAUCCAUUUACUAUCUGGAGGCAGAAUUUCCUUCUGAGCCUUUUUGUCUCAAAUGUUUCACCUUAAAUGGUUUUCUCCUGUUAUAUCUUAGAAUAUACUUCCGUUUAUUCUUGUUGUUUCAUGAAGAACAUUAUGUUCUUCAUCAUUGGCAUAUUUUGUAACAUUUAUCAUUCUAGAAGAAUUUCUAAGUUGUUCUCCUACAACACUGUUAUUUCCUUCAAUAACAUAUUUUCAUUUUAUUAUUUAAAGUGUAACAUUUAAAUCUUCUCUUGCACUAUUGUUUCUUCAAUAAAAGUGCAAAAUUUGGAAUAAGGAGUGUGAUAGCAAGGCUGGAAAUCAGAGGAUGUUUACAUUAUAAACAUGUUUUAUAUCAUUGUUAAGUAGAGGCUUGGCAUUGGAAUGGUUGUAAUAUUUAUGUAUCUUUUUCUUAUUUGGCUUCACCAUUCUACUUUCAAGGCCCCAUGUCUGCUUUCCUUGAAAAAGUCAUAGCAAUCUUUAGAAUCAAUUUCCUUAAACAGUGAUUAUUAUGUAACCACAAACCCAGAUUUUAAAAUAAUAUUAAUUUACCUACCCAGUGAUUCUUAUAAAGCUAUAAACAAGCAACAAUUCUCAAUUCAAUUGUUAGGCAGACUUAUUUGAAUGUUUUACCCCACACCACUGCAUUCUAUAAUCUUCUCUUCCCCAAAUGUAUUUAGAAUUUUAGGUAGGAAAGGAAAGGUUACAAGAAUUAUUUCAGUAAGCAUUGAACAUGCUGACAAAGUUCUGGAAGUGUUAGUAUCUUUUCUUUUUCCAGAUGGAGUCUCAUUCUGUUGCCCAGGCUGGAGUACAGUGGUGUGAUCACUGCUCACAAUUCUCCUGCUUCAGCCUCCAGAGUAGAUGGGAUUACCAGCAUGUGCCACCACACCUGGAUAAUUUUUUUGUAUUUUUAGUAGAGCCAGGGUUUCAGCACGUUGGCCAGGCUGGUCUUGAACUCCUGACCUUAGGUUAUCCACCUGCCUCAGCCUCCCAAAGUGCUGGGAUUACAGGCUUGAUCCACCAUGCCCAGCCAUACCCCAUUUUUUGAACAUUUUAUGAUGCAAGAUAGAACAGCUUUUGGCCUUUAAUGCACAUUAAAUAAGACGUACCCUAAAACUGCUUUGAGAGGCACCACUCACAUUAAUCAAAAAUGGUUAAAGUUAUUGUAGGGUGAAAUACUACUGAAUAGGAAAAUAACUAAAUUUCCAUUGUAAGUCUUCUAAUUUGGUGACAGCAUCUUUUAAACCCACAGCCACAAGUGCCCUUUUCUGCAGUUCAUAAUCUUUUUUGAUAUGUUUCUGGUGCUUGGUUGUAGAGUGAUUUACUGAGUUUAAUGACUUCUCACAACAGAGGAUUAGUGUUACCACCUAUCUGUAGCAGACUUAAAUGUUCUGUACAAGGUGUUAUUACUUUGGAGAGAUGGUUAUCCAUUCUUUCAUUCCAGGUGAAUACAGUACAAGUGAUUUAAUUAUUGUGACCACAACUUUACAGCUUUGCAUUGCCUAUAGUGCCUUUUUCUUUCUUUUAAAGUUAUAAAAUUCUGUUGUGUAAUUCAGUCAGCUGACUUAGUUUCUAAAUGUGUAUCAGCCUUCUGGCACUAAAAUAUUAAAAUAAUAUCAUCAUUUGACUACAUGAUAGAUUUCACACUGGUGAAGAUAGAGACUCACAAAGUUAGAGAUCCAGCUGAGACAGUUUGCCGCUCACUGCUUUGAUGGAAAACAGUGUCAGGUCACCUCUGUGAACUUCUCUGCACUGCAGAGAUCUAACAGGUAUUUUCCCCCCACCAAAAAAAGAGACACUUUUAUUCCUGGAGUCUUCUACCAAAUUCCAACUUGACCUCCUAAAGCUUCUGAUGUUUUCAGCCACUUCAGGGGUAGCUAAUAAGAUAAAGUCAUCAAUUAUAGUCAUUUUUUGCUGAAUUUUAUAGUACUAAAUCUCUUGGGUAACAAUCUUUUUUAAAAGUUAUGGAUAUUUGAUAUUAAGUUUUUUUUAAUAAAACAAAGUAUCAUAAUAAAAUAGGAAUUUAUGAAAUCUUACCUUAAGUAAAAACGUGAUUAUUCCUUGAAGCUAUAUCAAAAACAUCUCUUAUUUUACUUUCAAUGUUUUAUGGUAAUUUUCCAAAACCUGUUUUUUUUUCCUCACUCUGCUCUACAGAAUAACUUUAAACUCAGCUAUGUUAAGAUUUUAUGCCACAUUUUAUUCUUCCAAGUUAUUUUGAUUAAUUCUGUUAUCUCUGAAUUUUUACUUCAGUAUGCUAGACCCAUUUAAAUUCUAAAAUAAAAUUAAAUACCCUAGAGAAAUAAAAUUGCUUCACUAGAAGAAAAAUAAUAAUGGGCAGACUUUAGCCUAAGUAUCCCGUUAUAAUUUCCAUCCCAAAAUACAGCAGGGAAGCUUCAUUCACAAUGAAAAAAAUGACGAGUAGUAGCAUCUUAGGAUACUGAAGAGGAGAAAAUGUUUUUCCAAUACAUUAUUAUUUCUCUUCUCAUGUGAAUAUAAACUUAUUGGGCCUCAUUGAAAGUCUUUCCAACAUAGUUACAUUACAGGCUUAAGAUAUUAUCCCUCCUUUUUGGGUUCUUAUUAUACUUGCACUUAGUAUAACCAAUGACAGUCUUUAUUCUAAUUUUUGAAGAAUCCUUUCUUACAUGGGGAGAGAAAGGGAGAGGUUUUUACAAAGGUAUGCACAUUUCUCUCCUAGGACUAAUCCCAAGGGUUGCCUACUCCCAGAGUUCCAAAACAAAAGAAAGUAAAAAAAAAACGAAACUGAAUUUGGUGUGCAUGUGAUCCCGUCAUCUGUCUGUAAACAGAAUGUAAAUCAAUCUUUAUAGAAACAUAAGAAAUGAUUAUUCUUUUACAUUUUCCAGUGUCAUGGUGUUGCAGCUUUUUCGCUCCUGGGUAAAAUGAGUGGGAGGGAGGUUACUGCUCUUUCCCUCCUACUGCAGGAGAGCUUCCAAUUCUUGUCCCAAGACCAAGAAGAAUAAGAUACGUGGACACCAGAGAGUAAGGAAUUUUUAAGCAACAGAAAAGCUCUCAGCAAAGAGAGGGGACCCGAUGAAGGGUUGCUAGCUGUGGGGCUAAGUUUGGGAAUUUUGUGGAUUGUGAAGGGGCAGGAGUGCUGUUGGCUGUCUUGAAGAAAGCACCACUCAGAAAGAGGCACCAUAGUGUAAAGCACCAUGUGGGGCUGAAGUGAAGGCAUUGACCUGGGUUCACUCAGAGGCUGAAGUGAAGGCUCUGAGAAAACACUUGCUCUGAAUCAGUAGAGGAAAAGGAUAUAUAAAGAAAUGUGAAUGAGAAAACACAUUAAUAUCUUUCAAAAAAAUAAGUCCCUAUUAUGCAAACACUGAGCUUAAUAAACAAAAACAAACAAACAAACAAAAAAACCUCACUCCUUGGAGUUAAAAUGUACUCUGCUCUAGUGUAAAUGAAGCCUAACAGAAGUGAGAAAGAACCUCAUGUAUUCUGGAAGCAACGGUAUGCAAAAACAUCAUUGAGGUCCAUUGCUACAUGAUUUUGACUUAGGACUUGUGAUUUAUUAGAUGAUUUAACAGGUCUGAGUCUCAGGUUCCUAUGUGUAGAAUGAAUAUAAAUAAUUUCAAAUAACAGUGGCUGUAAAGGCAUAACAAACUUAAUCAUGAAAAAUGAGGAGUGUUAUUAUUGUGAAGUUAAUGAAAAUCCUUAUUUUUAACCUUGGCUAAACUGUCACAGAAAAAAACAGAAAGGAACACAACGAAACACAUUAUACAGAAGGUAGAGUAAAUGAAACAGGGAGAUUCCCAAACUACUAGAAAACAGUCUUUUGCAAUCUCACUCCACAAAACCACAUAAGGACUUUAGUCUCUUCAAGCACCUUUUUUACAAAUUCAUCGAAGCAGAGCACAAUCUGUAUAAUUCUCACAUUGCUCAAAGGUGCCCCUCCAAGGAUGUUGUAAUGAUUAAUCAACAACCAAUUUGAUUAUCCAUUAAAAUGUUCUCAAUAAUGUAUAUUAAUGUAUUGGGCAAUGAAUUCACCAAAUAGUAAACAAUAUGGUGUUUGGCCCGUUCAGUAUAAUCAGGCACUUUAAAAAAUUAUUUAACCAAGUAAAUGUAUCAAUUGCAACUCAAAUAAAAUUAUAGCUUAAUAUUUCUGAAUAUGAAAUUAAAAAUUACCUGAGGGAAGAUUCUAUAAUUAGUAAUUUAAAAUUUAAGUUCAGUAGACUCUUAGUUGGCCUCAAUGUCUAUUUCUUUCAUUUUCCCCUCCUAGUAGAAACUCUGGCUUGUAUCUGAACAUCUAGACAUCCAGGCAAAGACAUUCAGUCACCCUUUGCCUGCAGAUCACUACUUAUGACUAAUUUCUAACCAAUGAAUUUGAAGUUUUAUGUGGGAGAUUUAGGUAUCUUCCACAAAAGGAAUUACACAUAAUCAUGACAUUUUUUUUUUUCUUAACUUAUUCUGCUGCAAGAAAAUCAGAAGCCAUCUUGGGUCAUGAGAACAAGGAUCACAGCUUAGGAAUGGUGUACCCUGGGCUAGAAGGAGAUGGGCUUUUUGAGGGAAUAGAGCUGACAUGUCAGCCCUAUACCCCUAUACUGCAUAUCUUAGAACAUUACUUAUUCAGACAUAAAUAUACUUCUGUUAUUAAGGCACUCUAUCAUUUAAGCUGUUACUUGCAGAAAUUCCUUAUCUUAAAUUAUACUGCAUGUUUCUGAUAUCAGCUUAUAUUUUAUCAUUUAUCUAUCUUAUUUUUAUCUUGAACAUUUCAUUUUAUCAAAAAAUUUGUCUGACAAAAGGCUAAUACCCAGAAUCUACAAAGAACUAAAGAUUUACAAGAAAAAAAACAAACAAACCCAUUUAAAAGUGGGCGAAGGAUAUGAACAGACACUUUUCAAAAGAAGACAUAUAUGAGUCCAACAAACAUAUGAAAAAAUGCUCGUCAUCACUGGUCAUUAGAGAGAUGCAAAUCAAAACCACAUUGAGAUACCAUCUCACGCCAGUUAGAAUGGUAAUCAUUAAAAAAUCUGGAGACAAUAGAUGCUGGAGAGGAUGUGGAGAAAUAAGAACACUUUUACACUGUUGGUGGGAGUGUAAAUUAGUUCAUCCAUUGUGGAAGACAGUGUGGUAAUUCCUCAAGAACCUAGAAAUAGAAAUUCCAUUUGACCCAGCAAUCCCAUUACCGGGUAUAUAUCCAAAGGAUUAUAAAUAUUUCUGUUAUAAAGACACACACAUGCAUAUGUUCAUUGCAGCAUGGUUUACAAUAGCAACGACCUGGAACCAACCCAAAUGCCCAACAAUGACAGACUGGACAAAGAAAAUGUGGCACAUAUACACCAUGGAAUACUAUGCAGCCAUAAAAAACAAUGCGUUCAUGUCCUUUGUGGGGACAUGGAUGAAUCUGGAAACCAUCAUUCUCAGCAAACUCACACGAGAACAGAAAAUCAAACACCACAUGUUCUCACUUAGGUUGUGGUUGAACAAUGAGAACACAUGGACACA